CGGGGGCUGCCGGGAAGAGGAAGCAGGCAGCUAAGCCCCGCCCCUCGGCUUCUCCCGCUUCCUCGGCCCGGAAAAGCGGAAAGAGAGGAAGGAAGGAGCCGGGCGAGGGCGAGGAUGCGCGGCGCCGUGGACUUCGAGGAGGGCCUCAGGGACUCCCCGCGGUUCAGGGCUGCGCUUGAGGAUGUGGAAGGAGAUGUGACGGAACUAGAACUGAAAUUGGACAAGUUAGUGAAGCUCUGCAUCGCCAUGAUCGACACGGGGAAAGCCUUCUGCGCAGCCAACAAGCAGUUCACCCACGGCAUCAUGGACCUGGCCCAGUACUCCAAGAACGAUGCCUUGGUGGAGGGCAGCCUGACCAAGUUCUCAGACACCCUUCAAGAGAUGAUCAAUUACCACACGAUCCUGCUGGACCAGACCCAGAGGUCCAUUAGAGCCCAGCUGCAGAUGUUCGUUAAAGAAGACAUCAGGAAAUUCAAAGAGGCCAAGAAGCAGUUUGAGAAGGUCAGCGAAGAGAAGGAGACCGCCUUGGCCAAGAACGCCCAGGCCCCACGGAACAAGCAGCACGAGGUGGAGGAGGCCACCCACAUCCUGACCGCCACCCGCAAGUGCUUCCGCCACGUGGCCCUCGACUACGUCCUCCAGAUUAAUGUCCUUCAGUCAAAGAGGAGGUCGGAGAUCCUGAAGUCGAUGCUCUCCUUCAUGUAUGCCCACCUGGCCUUCUUCCAUCAAGGCUACGACCUCUUCAGUGAACUCGGGCCCUACAUGAAGGGUCUGGGGGCUCAGCUGGAGCGCCUGGCUGUCGAUGCUGCCAAGGAGAAGAAGGAGAUGGAGCAGAAGCAUUCCACCAUUCAGCAGAAGGACUUCUCCAGCGAUGAAGCCAAGCUGGAGUACAACGUGGACGUGGCCAGGGGCAUCGUCAUGGAGGGAUACCUCUUCAAGCGCGCCAGCAAUGCCUUCAAGACCUGGAACAGGAAAAAGCCCGAUGGCAUCAGGCGCUGGUUCUCCAUCCAGAACAACCAGCUGGUCUACCAGAAAAAGUUUAAGGACAACCCCACCGUGGUGGUGGAAGACCUGCGCCUCUGCACCGUCAAGCACUGCGAGGACAUUGAGCGCCGCUUCUGCUUCGAGGUGGUCUCUCCCACCAAGAGCUGCAUCCUUCAGGCAGACUCGGAGAAGCUGCGCCAAGCCUGGAUCAAGGCGGUGCAGACCAGCAUCGCCACAGCUUACCGGGAGAAAGGGGACGAGGCCGAGGCGGAGAGGAAGCCGGCCCCUUCUGCGGGGAACCCCGAGUCCGGCGGGGGCGCAGAGUCCAAGGAGAAGCUGCUGAAAGGGGAGAGCUCCCUCCAGAGGGUCCAGAGCAUUGCGGGCAAUGCGUUCUGCUGCGACUGCGGCCUGGCGGACCCACGGUGGGCCAGCAUCAACCUGGGCAUCACCCUCUGCAUCGAGUGCUCCGGCAUCCACAGGAGCCUGGGUGUUCAUUUCUCCAAAGUCAGGUCCCUGACGCUGGAUUCGUGGGAGCCGGAGCUCCUCAAGCUGAUGUGCGAACUGGGGAACGAGGUCAUAAACAGGAUCUACGAAGUGAACCUCGAGGGAGCAGCAGCCAAGAAGCCUCUGCCGGGAAGCGACAGGCAGGAGAAGGAGGAGUACAUCCGGGCCAAGUACGUGGCCAAGAGGUUUGUGGCCAGGAGCCCAGCUGUCUUUGCCGGACCAGGAAGGGGGCCUCCCGCGCGGCCCCGGCAGGAGGAGCCCCAGCGGCAGAGCCCCCCCUCGGAGAAGCCCCUGCCUGGCCCUGGGAAGCCGGAGGAGAAGGAGGGGGAGGCGCUCCUGAAAGCGGCUGGCUUGAGUAGCGACCAGGCCAGGCGGGAGUCUCUCUUCUGCCCCGAUGAGCUAGACUCGCUCUUCUCCUACUUUGAUGCCUCCUCAAAGAUGCGCAGCAUGCAAAGCACCGAGAGCGGGUUCCAGCCCAGUGUGGACGACAGCAGGGGGCACCCAGCCGCAGCCCUGCCUGCAGACGCCUUGCAUGAGCCAGGGGGGCUGCGCCCUGAAGCCCCCGCCCCUGCUGCCCCCAGCCCUGUGGCCGGUGCCGCCUCCUCCUCCUCCUCCUCCUCCUCCUCCUCCUCCCUGGACGCGGAGCGGUUCCUGGCGGGGCAGGAGCUCUACCGGGCCUCCUACGAGAAGAGCCUGCCCCGCAUGGCAGAGGCCCUGGCCCACGGCGCAGGCGUCAACUGGGUCAAUGCGGAGGAGAACCAGGCCACGCCUCUGAUCCAGGCCGUCCGCGGGGGCUCCUUGGUCACGUGCGAAUUCCUGCUCCAGAACGGGGCCAACGUCAAUCUCAGGGACGCCCACGGCAGGGGCCCCCUGCACCACGCCACGGUCCUAGGGCACACCGGGCAGGUCUGCUUGUUCCUGAAGCGGGGCGCCAACCAACACGCCACGGACGAAGACGGGAAAGACCCCCUGAGCGUCGCCAUAGAAGCCGCCAAUGCGGACAUUGUCACCCUGCUGCGCUUGGCCAGGAUGAACGAAGAGAUGCGGGAGUCGGAAGGGCUCUACGGCCAGCCAGGUCAGGCCCCCAACAGCCACACCGAGAUGCAGUACCGGACUUGCAUCCAGGAGUUCAUUAGCCUGCAGCUCGAACAGGCUUAGCUCUGUGGCUCCAGUUGGGGGGUGGGAGUCGGGCAGUGAUGGCAGUGCCUGUGCCUAGUGCCCAGGAUGAAGGGGGGGGGGGCUCCCCUGACCUUUAUCUCCCCCCCCCCAGCAAUUGGCUCCCUCUGGAGCAAGGGGCCAACCCCUCCCAGGUCCCAGGCGUCAUGUCCCUUUGACACAGUGCUGCCUCGGGGGUCCCGGCCUUUAAGGGCCCGAAAGAUCAGCCUGCUGGCCUCCCAGCCUGGGCCCAGAUCCCUUUGGCUUGCCCAGGGAGAGGGAGGGGUCUUCAGAGCACCCACUGUCCUGGCAGCAGAGCCUGGGAGCGUUUCAGAGGACUGCAGGGGUGGGAGGCCACCUUCAGAUGCCCAAAGGUCUCUCUCUGUUCCCUCUGGGGUCCUGGGUCUGCCCCUGGCAAGCUCUGGCUGGCCUCCAUUUGUGGGGGGGGGGGGGGGCUGGAACCCUUUCAGGCCACUCUUGGCCUCCUUUGCCCUGAGGGUCACCCAGAGGUUUGGGUCUCCUGAGGUGGGAUGUGCUCUUUUGGGGAGGGCCCCGGGGGCCUUGUGUUGCUGAAGCGGCAUCUGGCACACUCCCCUCUUUCCCUUCCUCCUGGUCUUCCUCCUCCUCCAGAGCAGCACCCCUUAUUCUGCGUGGAAAGAGACUGGGUGGGAUGGGACCUCAGAGACCUCUUUGAAUGUUUCAGGAGGAGGAAGCUUGAAUGUAGUGUGGAACCAAAAGCACUUUAGUUUUCUUACUGCUGCUGCUAUUAUUAUUAUUAUUAUUAUUUUAUUAUUAUCAUCCUUAUUUUGGCCAGGGUUUUCUCCUUCUAUCUUGAGUUGCCAAAAAACUGCACCCAAAGACAAGGGCCUUGCCUCAAAGCUCCCUUUGCACAGGGCUUGAUAGGGACCCCCCAUUGCACCCAGAGACCCCCAGCAGGGCCGGGCUCCUUUCCCUCCUCCAAUACCUCAGUUCUGCUGCUCAGGAGACCCCCCCCCCCCCCUUAGCCUCCGCUUGGUCCUGCCUUGCUGGGCCCUACAAGGGACUUUGGGGCCCUUUCCUUGGGAGGGGGGCUGCCAGGUGCCGCUUCCUCUUCCUUUUGAGCUCUGCUGCCUUUCCUUUCUUCUAACUCUGGGCUUUCCUGUCUGGCUGCCUGGCUGCCUGUGAGGGACUCGCCUCAGGGGAUGAAACCUACCAGGACAUCUUCCGGGACUUUUCGCAAAUGGCUUCCAAUAACCCAGAGAAGCUGAAGCGCUUCCAUCCUCCGGAGACACAGAAGCCGUGAAGGGCCCUUGGGGCCGGAUGGGGGGGGCCCUCCCCUCCCCCCCUCCCCCCCUCCCCCCCUCCCUCUGUGCCCCCUCCUCCCCGUGUACGGAGCUCCCCGCCCCUCCCCCUUUUUAUACAUAAACGCUGCUUUCAUUAGA